GGGGAGGCUAAUGUAGUUGUGACUUCUUGUUUUGUUGGUUUCCGAUUCCGAGCACCGCCCGUGCGUCUUUAACCCGUAGUCGCCUAGUGCUGUCGUACCGUUUUCGUUUUCGUUUUCAAGUAUAACCGAACGUCGGUAAGGGGUCACUGCUGCCUAUACCGCGCAUACGGUUCACGUCGUCUCCCGAUCCAAGGCGAACGCCAACGCGUGUUCCCGAGUUACGCGAACCGACUCUGGGGAAACGCGCACCGAUUUCCCGGCAAUAUCGCGCGGCGG